CGAAUCCUACGGGAGGCAGCAGUGAGGAAUAUUGGUCAAUGGCCGAGAGGCUGAACCAGCCAAGUCGCGUGAGGGAUGACGGCCCUACGGGUUGUAAACCUCUUUUGUCGGGGAGCAAAGAGAGUCACGUGUGGCUCAUUGAGAGUACCCGAAGAAAAAGCAUCGGCUAACUCCGUGCCAGCAGCCGCGGUAAUACGGAGGAUGCGAGCGUUAUCCGGAUUUAUUGGGUUUAAAGGGUGCGCAGGCGGAGGUGCAAGUCAGUGGUCAAAUUGCGGGGCUCAACCCCGUACUGCCGUUGAAACUGG
rnacentral:rRNA from 1 species